GGCGCUUUGGCGGAGUGGUUAACGCGAUGCCCUGCUAUCUUCUCUUCGAGAUAUCGGUAGGCAUUUCCUUCGGGAGCGUGUGUUCGAAUCACACAGGCGUCG
rnacentral:tRNA from 1 species